rnacentral:piRNA from 1 species
UACAAUAGUAAGAUGGAAAUAAAC